GUUAAGAUACUAAGGGCAACUGGUGGAUGCCUUGGUGUCAGGAGGCGAUGAAGGACGUGGUAGGCUGCGAUAAGCCUCGGGGAGCCGUCAAGCAGGCUUUGAUCCGGGGAUUUCCGAAUGGGGCAACCCGGCUGGAGUAAUGUCCAGUCACUCUUUUGCUGAAUACAUAGGCUUAAGGGGGCGAACUCGGGGAAGUGAAACAUCUCAGUACCCGAAGGAGUAGAAAUCAAGAGAGAUUCCGUAAGUAGCGGCGAGCGAACGCGGAAGAGCCCAAACCGUCUGGUUUCGACCAGGCGGGGUUGUAGGGCCUCGAACAUGGACCAAGAGGGAUAGCAGAGGCAGUUGGAAAGCUGCACCAUAGAGGGUGAUAGUCCUGUAUGCGAAAUUCCGAAUGGCCUACGAGGUACCUGAGUACCGCGGGACACGAGAAAUCCCGUGGGAAUCUGGGAGGACCAUCUUCCAAGGCUAAAUACUACCUGACGACCGAUAGUGAACCAGUACCGUGAGGGAAAGGUGAAAAGAACCCCUGUUAGGGGAGUGAAAAAGAACCUGAAACCGGUUGCCUACAAGCAGUUCGAGCCUGUCUUCGGACGGGUGAGAGCGUGCCUUUUGCAUAAUGAGCCAGCGAGUUAAUUUAAAGUGCGAGGUUAAGCCGCGAGGUGGAGCCGUAGCGAAAGCGAGUCUGAAUAGGGCGACUAGUACUUUGGAUUAGACCCGAAGCCGAGUGAUCUAUCCAUGAGCAGGGUGAAGCAAGGGUAAAACCUUGUGGAGGCCCGAACCGUUGUAGGUUGAAAACUGCUCGGAUGACUUGUGGAUAGGGGUGAAAGGCCAAUCAAACUCGGUGAUAGCUGGUUCUCCCCGAAAUAUAUUGAGGUAUAGCCUCGGGAGUUUUCUUGCGGAGGUAGAGCACUGACAAGGCUAGGGGCCCCACCAGGUUACCAAACCUUAUCAAACUCCGAAUGCCGUAAGACGAGAUCCCGGGAGUCAGACUGCGGGUGAGAAGGUCCGUGGUCGAAAGGGAAACAGCCCAGACCGUCGGCUAAGGUCCUCAAAUUCAUGCUGAGUGGGAAAGGAAGUGGAGACGCACAAACAGCCAGGAGGUUGGCUUAGAAGCAGCCAUCCUUUAAAGAAAGCGUAAUAGCUCACUGGUCUAGUGUCUCCGCGCCGAAAAUGUAACGGGGCUAAGCAUGAUACCGAAGCCACGGGAUUGCUCUUUAUGAGUGAUCGGUAGGGGAGCGUUCCCUGCGGGAUGAAGGUGACUCGGAAGGGUUGCUGGACUGCAGGGAAGUGAGGAUGCUGGCAUGAGUAACGAUAAAACGGGUGAGAAACCCGUUCGCCGUAAACCCAAGGUUUCCUGGGUAAAGUUAAUCUUCCCAGGGUGAGUCGGCCCCUAAGGCGAGGCUGAAAAGCGUAGUCGAUGGGAAACAGGUUAAUAUUCCUGUACCUGCUGACGAAUCGUUUGAGCGAUGGGGGGACGCAGAAGGGUAGGUCAGCCACCUGCUGGAAUAGGUGGUUCAAGCCUGUAGGGAUGAGUCUCAGGCAAAUCCGGGACUCUCUAUCCUGAGAGGUGAUGACGAGCCGCAAGGCGGAAGUGAUUGAGCCCAUGCUGCCGAGAAAAGCCUCUAAGCGAGAUUCGAUGGUAGACCGUACCGUAAACCGACACAGGUGGGUGGGGUGAGUAACCCAAGGCGCUUGAGAGAACUCUGGUUAAGGAACUCGGCAAAAUGACCCCGUAACUUCGGGAGAAGGGGUGCCACGUUUGGUGAACGAAGUACAUUGGGAGCUAGACGUGGUCGCAGAGAAAUGGCGGUGGCGACUGUUUACUAAAAACAUAGGUCUCUGCUAAGUCGUAAGACGACGUAUAGGGACUGACGCCUGCCCGGUGCCGGAAGGUUAAGGGGAGGGGUUAGCGCAAGCGAAGCUCUGAACCGAAGCCCCGGUAAACGGCGGCCGUAACUAUAACGGUCCUAAGGUAGCGAAAUUCCUUGUCGGGUAAGUUCCGACCUGCACGAAUGGCGUAACG
rnacentral:rRNA from 1 species